CCCUUAGAUGUCCUGGGCCGCACGCGUGCUACACUGAUGCAUACAGCGAGCACUUCCCGGCCCCGAAAGGCGGCUGGUAAUCAGCAAUAUGCAUCGUGAUGGGGAUAGAUCUUUGGAAUUCUUGAUCUUGAACGAGGAAUGCCUAGUAGGCGCAAGUCAUUACCUUGCGUCGAUUAAGUCCCUGCCCUUUGUACACACCGCCCGUCGCUCCUACCGAUUGAAUGGUCCGGUGAAGCGUUCGGACCGUGGCCUUUGGACGGUUCGCCGUCUGUUGGCUGCGGGAAGUUCGUUAAACCUUAUCAUUUAGAGGAAGGAGAAGUCGUAACA
rnacentral:rRNA from 1 species